GAUUAACGCUGGCGGCGUGCAUAACACAUGCAAGUCGAACGAAGUGGCGGACGGGUGAGUAAUGCGUGAGUAACCUGCCUUAGAGAUGGGGAUAGCCUCUGGAAACGGAGAAUAAUACCCAAUGCUCUAAGAUGGACUUGCGUGUGAUUAGCUAGUUAGUGGGAUAAUGGCUCACCAAGGCAACGAUCAGUAGCCGGCUUGAGAGAGUGUACGGGCACAUUGGGACGGAGACACGGCCGAGACUCGGCGGGAGGCAGCAGUGGGGAAUUUUGCACAAUGGGGGAAACCCUGAUGCAGCGACUCCGCGUGACUUAGAAGGCCUUCGGGUUGUAAAAAUCUUUUGUAUAGGAAUCAGUACUAUACGAAUAAGGACCGGCUAAUUACGUGCCAGCAGCCGCGGUAAUUC
rnacentral:rRNA from 1 species